CGAUUCCGUAUGCAUCGAGCGGAUCGACGAUGAAGCCUUCAAUCUCAAGGGACCAACCAACCUCGGAUAUGAUGAUGCCAAGAAAGGUCUCCUUGCAAGAGUGGUUGAUGGAAUUUUCAGAGAAAUCACUUCUGCUGAUUCACUCAAGUAUACAGUCAAAUUGUCCAUGGUGCGCCUACACAAGCUGGUGCUUCACUUAAUUAUUGAUGUAAUGCUCUAUUUUUUACGUUUUUCAACUUUUAAAAGGUAAAAGACCUACAUGGAGAAAGUAAGGUAUAGAUUACCAUGACUACAUUUGAAGACAUUCAUGUUGAGAUAAUGGCUUUUCUCUAUUUUAAUUAUUGCAUGCCGUAUGUCGUUCUCCUGAAUCUCAUCCAUUAAUCCCAGGAAGGAAGUUUCAUAAAUAAAACCUCAUGGACAUCAUUUACUUUCCUUCUUCCAGGGACCUUUUAGAUCUUUCAAAGGACAACAUACAAAUUAAAGAGACCAAAUAGGCGGUUUAAGACACCAGUUUUUUAUGUGCUCUGGGCCUGAAGAAUGCAUCUUAAGAUGCCUAUGUGCCUCAAACACGUUCACAAAAUGUUUCUGAGAAAAAGAUGUUAUUUUGCUCUAUGGACUCAAAUGGUGUUUCUGGCAAUACCACAAGUGGAACUACUAGAAAUUGGUUUGCUGCUCGAUCAUAAAUCUACCUAUUCUUUAUUGUCUGCGCAAAACUGGAUAGCUUAUUGAGUUAAAACUGUCUAUACUUACAUAUCAUCUUAUGCUUUCUUUCUGUGAGACCCCCUUGAUGUUUUCUACCUUCCAUCCAGAUAUUUCUAUCAGACAUUCCUAAAGCAUUACAAGGCUUAUCUGUAAGAUACAAGCUCAAUUUCAUUUGACUGUUUUCCAAUCUUCCUGGGUUGAUCUUCUAUUUCCAUCCUCUGAAAUCCAAUGUGGUAUAUGCAACAGAGCAGUUGGGGAGACCCGUAUCCUUACUGCUUUCCGUUUUGGCUUGUGCUUGCUCUUAAUCUUGCAUAGCCAUAUCAGAACUUUAUCUACAAUAUCUGCCACCUUCGCUAAUUAUGCUUACAGUUUCAAACUUUAAACUGAAAAAGAUAUGAAUGUGGGCAGCAGCAGAAGCUAUUGUAUUUACAUAUUCUUGGUGCACCAGGAAUCAACCAUACAGAAGAGAACAUUUGGAAAGCUAAUUCUUGUGGAUCUGGCUGGCUCUGAGAAGGUUGAGAAAACGGGAGCAGAGGGCAGGGUUCUUGAAGAAGCUAAAACCAUCAAUAAGUCCCUGUCAGCACUUGGAAAUGUAGUGCAUGCCUUGACAUGCGGUCCAAACGGAAGAGGAAAUCAUAUUCUGUAUCCCAACUUUAAACUUACUCGGAUAUUGCAAGAUUCUCUUGUAAGACUGCCGCACAUUAGUGCUUCCAUUAUCCUGCUAGUAAUGUGGUUGUCUCACAGUGAGGGAACUCUCAAAUGGCAUUACUAUGUUCUUGUUCACCUGGCCCUUCAAAUGCAUCAGAAACGCUGUCAACCCUGGUGCCAGGUAUGGAUGUUGGAAGUCAAAACUCAUAUACGGCAGGACAUGUUCUUAUUCGGAUGGACAUGUUCAUUAGGAAUACAAAGAGAAAAUGGGAGUUUUAAAGUCAGGAAGUUCUAGCUUUC